UACAGAGGGGGCAAGCGUUGUUCGGAAUUACUGGGCGUAAAGGGCGCGUAGGCGGCCUUCUAAGUCGAACGUGAAAUCCCCGGGCUCAACCCGGGAACUGCGUCCGAUACUGGAAGGCUUGAAUCCGGGAGAGGGAUGCGGAAUUCCAGGUGUAGCGGUGAAAUGCGUAGAUAUCUGGAGGAACAUCGGUGGCGAAGGCGGCAUCCUGGACCGGUAUUGACGCUGACGGCGCGAAAGCCAGGGGAGCAA
rnacentral:rRNA from 1 species